GAUGAACGCUGACAGAAUGCUUAACACAUGCAAGUCGACUCGAGUCUUCGGACUUGGGUGGCGCACGGGUGAGUAACGCGUAAAGAACUUGCCUCUUAGACCGGGACAACAUCUGGAAACGGAUGCUAAUACCGGAUAUUAUGGUUUUUUCGCAUGGAGGAAUCAUGAAAGCUGGAUGCGCUAAGAGAGAGCUUUGCGUCCCAUUAGCUAGUUGGUGAGGUAACGGCCCACCAAGGCAAUGAUGGGUAGCCGGCCUGAGAGGGUGAACGGCCACAAGGGGACUGAGACACGGCCCUUACUCCUACGGGAGGCAGCAGUGGGGAAUAUUGGACAAUGGACCGCAAGUCUGAUCCAGCAAUUCUGUGUGCACGAUGACGUUUUUCGGAAUGUAAAGUGCUUUCAGUCGGGAAGAAGUCAGUGACGGUACCGACAGAAGAAGCGACGGCUAAAUACGUGCCAGCAGCCGCGGUAAUACGUAUGUCGCAAGCGUUAUCCGGAUUUAUUGGGCGUAAAGCGCGUCUAGGCGGCAAGGAAAGUCUGAUGUGAAAAUGCGGAGCUCAACUCCGUAUGGCGUUGGAAACUGCCUUACUAGAGUACUGGAGAGGUAGGCGGAACUACAAGUGUAGAGGUGAAAUUCGUAGAUAUUUGUAGGAAUGCCGAUGGGGAAGCCAGCCUACUGGACAGAUACUGACGCUUAAGCGCGAAAGCGUGGGUAGCAAACAUG
rnacentral:rRNA from 1 species